CGCAUCCACACAGACACGAAUAACCUCGCGUGAGGAAGGGAAGUAAAAGGGGCGCUUGAAGGCUAAACGAGCGAGGCUGCGUCGACAGUUCCAGGCUGCAUCGAGGGAUAGAAUCAAGAUCACGUGAAGUGUUGAUACCACUUCAUAAUGCCAUGGUAAGACCACACUUGGAAUACUGCAUCCAGUUUUGGUCGCGGACCGGAGCCUAAAACCAAUUCUUGAAUACAGCUCAUCUGUCUGGAACCCACACUGCAUAUCGGACAUUAAUACAAUUGAGAGAGUCCAGAGAUAUUUCAGGAGAAGAGUCCUCCACUCCUGCUCGCAACAGAAUAUCUUAUGCCACCAGACUUGGAAUUCUGGGCUUAGAAAACUUAGAACUUCGCCACCUUCAGUCCGACCUAAGUGUAGUACACAAAAUUAUCUGCCACAAUGUCCUGUCAAUGAAUACUUCAGCUUCAACCACAACACAGGAGCACAUAAGAUACAAACUUUUAGUAAAACGCGCCAAACUUGAUUGCAGAAAAUACGAUUUCAGUAACAGAGUUGUUAAUACCUGGAAUGCACUACCUGACACUGUGGUUUCUUCCCCAAUCCCCCAAAACUUUAUCCUUAGACUGUCUGUUGACCUCACCCCAUUCCUAAGAGGUCUUUAAGGGGCGUGCAUAAGCGCACCAGCGUGCCUACCGUCCCUGUCCUAAUGUUCCUUUUUAUUUAUAUUCAUUUCAUGUAUUCAUAAUUAUGGUUAUAUUUAUACCUGUUAUCUAAUACAUGCUUGACGAAAUAAAUAAAUAUAAAGAACGGUU